AGUGAACGCUGGCGGUAGGCCUAACACAUGCAAGUCGAACGGCAGCACAGUAAGAGCUUGCUCUUACGGGUGGCGAGUGGCGGACGGGUGAGGAAUACAUCGGAAUCUACUUUUUCGUGGGGAUAACGUAGGGAAACUUACGCUUAUACCGCAUACGACCUACGGGUGAAAGCAGGGGAUCUUCGGACCUUGCGCGGUUGAAUGAGCCGAUGUCGGAUUAGCUAGUUGGCGGGGUAAAGGCCCACCAAGGCGACGAUCCGUAGCUGGUCUGAGAGGAUGAUCAGCCACACUGGAACUGAGACACGGUCCAGACUCCUACGGGAGGCAGCAGUGGGGAAUAUUGGACAAUGGGCGCAAGCCUGAUCCAGCCAUACCGCGUGGGUGAAGAAGGCCUUCGGGUUGUAAAGCCCUUUUGUUGGGAAAGAAAAGCAGCAGGUUAAUACCCCGCUGUUCUGACGGUACCCAAAGAAUAAGCACCGGCUAACUUCGUG
rnacentral:rRNA from 1 species